rnacentral:rRNA from 1 species
GAUGAACGCUGGCGGCAUGCCUAACACAUGCAAGUCGAUCGGUAAGGCUCUUCGGAGUACACGAGAGGCGGACGGCUGAGUAACGCGUAGGAACACACCCUGCAGUGAGGGAUAAGACACCGAAAGGUGUUCUAAUACCGCAUACGGUCUUCGGAUUAAAGCAUUUAUGCGCUGAAGGAGUGGCCUGCGUCAUAUUAGAUAGUUGGUGAGGUAAUGGCUCACCAAGUCGAUGAUGUGUAGCUGGUCUGAGAAGAUGAUCAGCCAGACUGGAACUGAGACACGGUCCAGACUCCUACGGGAGGCAGCAGUGAGGAAUAUUUCACAAUGAGCGAAAGCUUGAUGGAGCAAUGCCGCGUGCAGGAUGAAGGCCCUCGGGUUGUAAACUGCUUUUAUAAGAGAAGAUUAUGACGGUAACUUAUGAAUAAGGGACGGCUAACUACGUG